AGAGCUCCACGUCUGCUUCCGGGGCGCUCCGGGCUGCGGGGGCGGCCGUGGGACUCUUAGGGCCGUAAUUGUGGCGCUUUCGGCAAGUUUGGUGUGACGCCUCAGGACCUGCUUUGGAGAUGCCAACAUUCGUGCUGCGUGGAGCCCUGUGGCGGUGUCACCCUCACAUGCUGGAAGGGGCCUUGUGAUCCCAGCGUGCUCCCUCGCCUCGGCGCAGGGUUGGCAGCAGCCAGGUUCCCUGCAAGAAGAAUGAGUCCCGGGGGGCACUGGUGCUGUGGCUCACGCCAAGAUCUCUGAGCUGGUGGUGCCAGCGUGACUACGCUGACUUUAGCACCCUGCUGUUUAACCAGCAGGUUGCAUGUUAACAUCAGAGCGAUGGCAGAGCUCUGUCUGCACCUGACUCUUUAGACUUUGAUUGAUCCACAGUAAAUCCUUCCCUUCACGCGUGCCCAUAGGUGAGGAGGAGCGAGGUGGGACUCUGGCCAGGAGAGCAGAAACAAGAAGUGAAGCGAUGAGCCAGUUCUUUGCCUGGCAAAGGUGCAGCGUGUAGAAAUCAAAACUAAGCCAGCUUGCUCACAGGAGAGGAAGGGGCACGAAUAACCUGAAACUUGUCAUCUCACGCUGGUGCUUAACAUCAGGGAGGGUUGGCAGUUGUUGAUGUUCUUUACUAAAAUAAACUCGCUUUACCCCACGGCUCCUCGCCUGGGGCUGUCCCACUAGGUGUCAGUGCACGCUCAUGUGCCGGCGUGGCUGCCCGCAGCUCUGCUCUGUGAUGGCAACAAAAAGCCACCGAGUAAUUUCGACAUAUUGUUCAUUUGCUGCAGCUGUAAUUUAGGUUUCUAGGGCCAUUUAUCAUAAAGCUGUCUGCUUUCUUAUUCCAUGGCUCAAGGCUGCUGGAGUAUAUCUCGCUGCGUUCCUGGGAGAAUCAAAGUAUUGGAGUUGAUUUCACUAAAAGCUGUCACAGUACAUUACUGGAGCGCAUUUUAUUAAAGUUCAUUUUCCAGACUUAAAUUUAACAGUGUUCUAGACCACUGUCAUUUACCAUAUACUGGAACAGUAAUUUCUCUAUCAAAGUCAGUUAUUGAAUUCUGAAAGUUGACUGAAGUACUUUUGAAACACAUACAGUAUGUGAGUUGAAAGAAAAACAGGACAAGACAGAGGCAGAGCUGCGCAGUGUCUCUCCACCGGCUUCCGAGGGAGAGCCGGGAAGGGGGGAGCACGCUGCCACCAUCGCUGUGGAGGAGGCAGACUCCGUGGAGGCAACAUGACAGACGCUAAUUGCACUAAUUGAAGUGUGGUAAUUAGUUGCUGCACCUCAGUAAGCAUUUGUAAAAUAUUUUCAUGGAAAAAAUGUAGCUGAUACCACGGAGUGGAGCUGAGCAUCGCAAAAGAGCUUUCUGUCUCUCGACCUGCGAGAGCUGAGAGUAGCAAAGACCAAAACAGAGGAUGGGACAGAAUUGCUGCUCCGGGGAUUGAUGAGCAAGAGAGCAGCGGCCGGGAGAGCCAGCUGGAUCAAAACUGAGCUGGUUGUGAAAAAGCCGCUUUUGGUGCUGUCCUCAUCACCCUCCUUCCCCUUUCUGAGAGCGCUUCAGGCAGCUGAGCACCCUGGGGCGGAUUGGGGAGCCAGGUGGGGCUGUGUCCUCCCAGGUUUUUGCUGCCCUGCCUCCUGCCAUAGCCGCAGGUUUAUUGCAAGCCCCACCGAAGCACAGUGACUUUGUGGUUGCCACCACAGAGGGCUUGAGAAAACUGGCUGGUGGGAGCCAGGUGGGAGCAGCUCCCGUUGCUGGCUGGGAGGGGGAGAGCGCGCCGUGCUGCAGCUCAGGGUGUCGGACAGCCCGGGCUGCUGAUGCUGCACGGCGCCUGCGUGGGGGAUACGCAGCAACAUCUAGGUGGUGGCGUGGCAAUCGUCUGCAUGUUUGUUAAUAAACGCAAAUACGGCUGGUGGGAUGGAAAUUGUUUGGGGGAUAGGGUGGUUUUUCAGCAGUGUGCACAUAAUAUCCUACAAGUUACAUAGGCUUUGAUGCAAUAAAUGAAAGAUGAUGCGGGAGGGGUGCUUCCAAACGGGCAGAGCACGUUACUAAAAUAUUUAGGCCAUAUCAGAGUUAAGUGCUUCUUCAUAUGCCUCACUCCAGCUCGUCAGGCUUUCUGUCUUUCUGAAAAGGCCACUGGCAAAAUAAUACGGAGUUUUGUUUGGAUGUGGGGGAGGCUGUAAUUAUUGGGGCGUUUAACACGUUGGUUUAUGACAUCUUUAGGCUGAGGACUGGUUUACUACUUGCUAUUACCAUAAGUGGUGCUGUUGCCCUGCUUGCAAUUUUGAUGCCCAUUAAGAUGGAAACUGUAUGUAAAUCAGGAUCGCCCAUUAAUAUUUAUAAUUCAUGGUGGAAUGUAGGAGUUUGUCUGUUAUGAGAAGAACCGUAAACAGGAAUUUUAUGAACACUGAAAACUGUUGCUUAGGUGGUUCUCUUGAAAUAAUUUUCCUUUGCAGCCAAACAUCAAUUCUUAAUUUUAGUAGCACGCAUAGCAGGAUGGAAACGAUGAUUGAUUUUUCUCCAAGUGCUGUGGGCUGCUUCAGUUGAGAUUUCACUAUAAAAGACUAGACAUUUCCAAUUGCUUUUUAUAAGUUCAGAAUUGAUUUUAUUUGUUUAGCACCUGACUAACAUAAUAAAAGACAAAAGAAAUAUAACCAAAUAUAAGACACAGAAAACUCACAGGCUACCUGGUUUCUGGUCUUCCUUUCGGUGCUGUGAUAUCAAGCUAUGAUGUAAUUUAUAAAAGAAAGACCUGGACUUGCCGCUGCCUGGGUCCCAGUGCUGCACAGCCCUGCUUUCCCAGGCUGCGAACAGAUACGUCCCACCGAGGCGGCACUCAGCAAGCAGAAACGCCAGCAAAAAGUUGUGAAAGGGAGAGCUUCAGCUUACUCUCUUUAAACCUCUUCUUGAUUUUUCUUUCGCUAACUAACUUAACUAACGAACGUAGGAACUGUUGGUAGGCAGCAACCAGAGACUUAACGCAGUGAGGGCUCCCGCUCCAAACAGGUCUCUUCCAAAGAGAGUCGUGUGGAAGCUGUUUGCGCCGUGUUCACAAAGAAUUGGGGCUCUGUAUAGAGUUUGAAUAUUUUAUGCAUGUCUGGCUUACUGUUGGGAUUUUGACAAGUGAGAAAGCAAAAAUAAAACCGAGUUAGCAUCA